GGGAGCUUGCUCCCUGAGGUUAGCGGCGGACGGGUGAGUAACACGUGGGUAACCUGCCUGUAAGAUUGGGAUAACUCCGGGAAACCGGAGCUAAUACCGGAUAACAUUUUGAACCGCAUGGUUCGAAAUUGAAAGAUGGCUUCGGCUAUCACUUACAGAUGGACCCGCGGCGCAUUAGCUAGUUGGUGAGGUAACGGCUCACCAAGGCGACGAUGCGUAGCCGACCUGAGAGGGUGAUCGGCCACACUGGGACUGAGACACGGCCCAGACUCCUACGGGAGGCAGCAGUAGGGAAUCUUCCGCAAUGGACGAAAGUCUGACGGAGCAACGCCGCGUGAACGAUGAAGGCCUUCGGGUCGUAAAGUUCUGUUGUUAGGGAAGAACAAGUACCAGAGUAACUGCUGGUACCUUGACGGUACCUAACCAGAAAGCCACGGCUAACUACGUGCCAGCAGCCGCGGUAAUACGUAGGUGGCAAGCGUUGUCCGGAAUUAUUGGGCGUAAAGCGCUCGCAGGCGGUUUCUUAAGUCUGAU
rnacentral:rRNA from 1 species